AUUGAACGCUGGCGGCAGGCCUAACACAUGCAAGUCGAACGGUAGCACAGAGAGCUUGCUCUCGGGUGACGAGUGGCGGACGGGUGAGUAAUGUCUGGGAAACUGCCCGAUGGAGGGGGAUAACUACUGGAAACGGUAGCUAAUACCGCAUAACGUCACAAGACCAAAGUGGGGGACCUUCGGGCCUCACACCAUCGGAUGUGCCCAGAUGGGAUUAGCUAGUAGGUGGGGUAAUGGCUCGCCUAGGCGACGAUCCCUAGCUGGUCUGAGAGGAUGACCAGCCACACUGGAACUGAGACACGGUCCAGACUCCUACGGGAGGCAGCAGUGGGGAAUAUUGCACAAUGGACGCAAGCCUGAUGCAGCCAUGCCGCGUGUAUGAAGAAGGCCUUCGGGUUGUAAAGUACUUUCAGCGGGGAGGAAGGCGGUGAAGUUAAUAGCUUCACCGAUUGACGUUACCCGCAGAAGAAGCACCGGCUAACUCCGUGCCAGCAGCCGCCGUAA
rnacentral:rRNA from 1 species